GAGUUUGAUCUUGGCUCAGAUUGAACGCUGGCGGCAGGCCCUAACACAAUUGCAAGUCGAGCGGUAGAGAGAAGCUUGCUUCUCUUGAGAGCGGGCGGACGGGUGAGUAAUGCCUAGGAAUCUGCCUGGUAGUGGGGGAUAACGCUCGGAAACGGACGCUAAUACCGCAUACGUCCUACGGGAGAAAGCAGGGGACCUUCGGGCCUUGCGCUAUCAGAUGAGCCUAGGUCGGAUUAGCUAGUUGGUGAGGUAAUGGCUCACCAAGGCGACGAUCCGUAACUGGUCUGAGAGGAUGAUCAGUCACACUGGAACUGAGACACGGUCCAGACUCCUACGGGAGGCAGCAGUGGGGAAUAUUGGACAAUGGGCGAAAGCCUGAUCCAGCCAUGCCGCGUGUGUGAAGAAGGUCUUCGGAUUGUAAAG
rnacentral:rRNA from 1 species